AACGAACGCUGGCGGCAUGCCUAACACAUGCAAGUCGAACGAGACCUUCGGGUCUAGUGGCGCACGGGUGCGUAACGCGUGGGAAUCUACCCUUGGGUUCGGAUUAACUCAGAGAAAUUUGAGCUAAUACCGGAUGAUGUCGCAAGACCAAAGAUUUAUCGCCCAAGGAUGAGCCCGCGUAGGAUUAGCUUGUUGGUGAGGUAAAAGCUCACCAAGGCGACGAUCCUUAGCUGGUCUGAGAGGAUGAUCAGCCACACUGGGACUGAGACACGGCCCAGACUCCUACGGGAGGCAGCAGUGGGGAAUAUUGGACAAUGGGCGAAAGCCUGAUCCAGCAAUGCCGCGUGAGUGAUGAAGGCCUUAGGGUUGUAAAGCUCUUUUACCCGGGAUGAUAAUGACAGUACCGGGAGAAUAAGCCCGGCUAACUCCGUGCCAGCAGCCGCGGUAAU
rnacentral:rRNA from 1 species